AUCAGAAUCAACAAAAUCAAUCACGUUGUGGCCUUGUUCACGAAAUCAAUCAGAAAUUCAGUACUUGACUUGUCCUGGCCUUCUUCACACCAGCACCCGCCGCCGCCCCUCCCCAGGUCGCGGGGAUCACUGGAGGCCACGGCCCCAUCUUCUCCACCACAGCCGCCAGCCGCCGCCGCCGCCCCUCCCUCUGUCGCGGGGGUCGCUGGAGAGUCACGGCCCCGUCGACCUCUUUGUCGCAGCCACCUCCCCUCCGUCAGGGGGGGAUGCCGGCAGAGUUACGGACCCGUCCCCUCCGUCGCUGGACCGGCCGAAGUGUCGCUGGGAUCGCCGUGAGCAUCCAACCCCUACCCCCCUACCUGACGAGCGCUGCCCGGGAGAUCAUAGGGGACGCGUCUCUGCCUCCUCGUCCACAUGUUUUAUCUCCAGAUGACUGGUCUGAUCUCUUUCAUCUUCCUUUGUCUGAAGAAGCACUGGGGGAAUUUCUUUCAACUUCUGUCUCCUAGAUGAUCUCCCUGAAACUGCUUGUAGACUGGGACUACUUCAUUCAGGACUCGGGAAAAGCAACUAAGGUGGAGCUACUGAAUCGUGUGCUAGCUAUUGCUUGUAGGGAUGUUGGAUGGAAGAGAUGUCAUGUGCAGAGCAUGAUCGCCAUGCUGCGGGAAGCUAGUUCAUCACACACACCAUUGGGAGGGGUCUUGGCGCAGCUAGACCUGAAGUCCACACCAAUCAACACCAAGGGUUACGAGACCCUCCUGCAAUUUACGAAUAACAAGUUAUCGACAGUUUUGAUCUCUACUAUGCGCUCUUCAUGUAUACUGUGAAUGCUACAGAACAAGGCAAGU